rnacentral:ncRNA from 1 species
CGUCGCCCGUUGCAUCACCGUCAAGGCGGUAAUGCCUGUGCGAAUUUAAUCUGGUCGUGCCGCUGGCCCACAAGGUCACCGCAAUGCGCACCACGGAUACCGCCGGAUGUUUCCGGAACCGGUCCGGCGCAGUUUCCACGCUGAUCGGCAAAUGCCUUCGGCGAGGCGACGUAGAUAGCACGAUGAAACG